AAUAAGAGAAUUACAAAUCAGGUUUUUUUCUCCUGAUUUUCAACCUUUUUCUCUUGAAAAAAUUUAAAUUCAACUAAAAAUGCUAAAAACCAGGAAGAAAUAUUUGAUUUGUCAUUCUCCUAUU
rfam:Gossypium hirsutum cultivar TM-1 chromosome 21, whole genome shotgun sequence